GACAAACCAACUUGAAAAGUACGGCCGCGUACCUGCCUAUCGCCGCCGCGCCGAUUCAAUUUCAAAUAAUUUAUAAUAUUUAGUGCAAAUGCAAUAAAUACAGAUUGCAAAGUACAAAUUUCUGCGAGUACAAGUUAUUACGCCAUAUUUCAUAAAUAAGUACGAUAAAACUGUGUAGUGAAUACAUCCCCGAUAGGGGAUCGAAUUUGGGGACUAACGCGGAGGCAAACGCGUACCAUCUGCGGCUCAAGAUCCAAGGCGCCUCCAGCUGACAGCGACUACGUCCAGCACCUACGGCCACCAUCUACCUUCGGCCGCCCUCGCCAGGGAAGUCACGGACCGCGAAAGCAUACCCACAGUCGGGCAUCCGAACCCCGCCCUCAUAUUUUUGUAAAAGUAAUAAACCGUAAUUUUAUCUGUGUA